CGACAAGAUCCGAGAGGCCCAGAGGGACGUGGGCGAGGCCUCGAGAGUCGUGGCGGAGACCAACAGGUCGAUGGAGGAGGCCAUGAGGGAGAUCCAGGCCGUGAUCUCGGAGCUGAGGGCGGUCGAGGUUCGCGGGGACACGGAAACCAUGGCUCGGAAGAUCCGAGAGGUGGCUCGAGGGCAGGAGGAGGUGGCUGGACUGACCCGGGUUCUACGGGAGGCGAGCGUGGAGCAGGAAGAAUAUAUCCGGCGGCGGA